UACAGAGGUCUCAAGCGUUGUUCGGAUUCAUUGGGCGUAAAGGGUGCGUAGGUGGCGAGGUUAGUCAGGUGUGAAAUCUCGGGGCUCAACCCCGAAACUGCACUUGAUACUGCCUUGCUAGAGUACUGGAGAGGAGGUUGGAAUUUACGGUGUAGCAGUGAAAUGCGUAGAUAUCGUAAGGAAGACCAGUGGCGAAGGCGAAUCUCUGGACAGUUACUGACACUGAGGCACGAAGGCCAGGGGAGCAAACGGG
rnacentral:rRNA from 1 species